CCCUGCUCUAGCCAGCAUCUUGCAUCUUGCAAUCCUUUAGCCAGGACACGCCCCUCUGGACAGAUUUGGGAAACUAUCACCUACCGCGAGCUUGGGGGAGGGGCGGGAAUCGCUUUGGGGUUAGCUAUGAGGUCCCUUUCUUCGCCUUCAGAGUAGAGACCUGAGGCAGAUGGAAUGAACAGCUGCAAGAGCGAGGAAAGUGAGUGAAUAAAGCUGAGCAGGGACACAAAUGGACAUAGAUCCUGGACAUCAUAUCAACGUUUUCCUCUGUUAGUUGUGACAAAAUAUGUGACAUGUACAACUAAAGGGGGCAUGGGUCAUGGAGGAGGGACAUAGCCCAUUGUGAAGAAUAUGCAGCAGCUGGUGGCUGAACUGUGGCUAGUGCUUGCAGCAAUUCACAUCUUGGCUGAUCAUGAAGCAGAGAGCUCACCAGACACAGGAUGGACUAUAACCCUAAAAUCCCAACACUCUGACUCUACGUUCCCAGGAAAGAGACCCUAGGCCAUCUUGGAGAUAGUCAAUUGCCUAAGAGUGAAUGCAGCUGGGAUUGUGGAUGUGAUGGGAGUUCCAAGCUUACCACUAGACCCGAGAACAAAGCAAGAGUAGGAAAAGCCACUUCAAGUGUUGCAGCAGCAGCAGCCAAUCACUGAUGGCUGGCAGCCAAGGUCAAUAACCAACAAAGCUGGAAGCAGAGUAAAGCUCACCUCUGCUGCGCUUACUACCGUAAGUGUCCACGCUGGCUGUCGAUUUUCUUUGGCCAGAGACAAUGAACUCCAGAGCCACUGGGAUGAUCUUUCCUGAUGAGGGGUUUCUGACACCCCAGAUCCUGGGGUCAUGGAGAAAGGACAUGCUGCAUUUAAAAUACCGAAAUCACUAAUGUGUAUGUAUUCAUGUGUAUGUGUAUAUUCAAUGUGUGUAUACACAUGUGUUAAUGUGUAUGUAAUGUGUAUGUACAUUUUGUGUAUAUAUGAGAGUAAUACUAUUGAUUCUCAAAAUAAUUCAAAACAUCUCGAAUCACCUUAUAGUGAGUUUACAUUUUACACACUUACUACAGCUUCUGUGUUAUCACUUUUACCUCCUGUUUUGUAUCUUAAUUUUUUGCUGAUUACCUUAUUUUUAAUGAUAUAUGAUAUAUCAUACACAUAUACACAUGUAUAUAAUAAUUUGUAUCUGUACUUCUCUCACACGCGCUAUUGUCUCGCCAGCAAGAACACACGCAUGAGAAACCGGAUCCUUCUGCAGCAACUUUAUUACACCAGUUUCAACAUGAAGAGGAAGACCCCAAGCACCAAAAAGGUGCUGCUUAUAUACACCUUAGUGUGGUGUGUCCACACCUCAUUGGCUGCUCUCCCAGAGCCUCAUCACCACGCUCCGGGAUGGGCCGUGACUUGGCACGAAAACACUCUCGCACAUGCACACAUUGCUUGUUUACUAAUUAGGCCACGCAGGCACAGCGGAAACCGCUUCCCACAUACUUCGGGUGUAAUUUGAAAUGUAUCCAUUUAUUUAUUUUUCUAAUUUUUUCUUAUUUAUCUCAAUGAGAGGCAGUGAAUUUCUCUGAGUUAUUUGAGUAAGAGGUCUUUUUUUAUUUCCCUUUAGUUUCCAAGACAUUUCCAGAAUUCUGCCUUGAUUACUUUUCCCCUUUAACUUGCAGUGCUCUGAAGAUGUCAGCACGUUGUGUUCUAAAGCCUGAAGUGUGAGCUGUAAACACUGCUGGAAUUCUCACCUUCCUGCUGUUUGUCUCUGUUCUUUACUGAGCUCAGCUAGUCAAAGCCUAUGUCAAAAGAAGACAGGUCUGGGGUUCAGCAAGAAGAAUAGGCGUUGCAAUGGCCAUUGGGAAUUGUCAGCAAGUAGAAUUUAAAUUCAUGUUGUAUAAGAUUACUAGAGAAAUUAGCAUAAAUGAGAAGCUAUGGAAACGGGGAGAGGAAGGCAUGCUCACAUGUGGAGGCUAAGGAACUAAAUAUCCAGCAAAAAUGCCCAAGUACCAGAGAGUCAGCUUUGUAAAGGAGAUCAACUUUUUUUUCUACAAGACUCAAGCUAGCAAAUGAUCUUGACCAGUUGAAGGAUCGAGCACUUCCCCGUUGGGUAAUAUAGAUAGCCUUGCAAUUUUAAAAGCAAAGAAAUGUGCCCUGUCUGGUACAGGUUUUAGAGCAAUUUUUUUUUCUGAGUUCUGUUUGUAAGAUGAAAUAUAGUUUAAUAUGCUAAUCUACUAAGAAGAAAGAGCUAGCCAGGAAAGAGAUUUUACCAAGGCAGGAAAGAGGAAAGAGAGAGAGGUCUGGCUUUGUAGCAGGGGAGCAAGUAUUUGAAGAUAGGAACUAAUACCAUUUACACAUGGAGAGAUUGAGUCUGGGUUAAACCAAAGAAGUCUUGAAUUCAAAUGGUGGGGGAUAAAACACACAUAUCAAGGAGGGAGAAUUUCUCAGGCAUGCUUUUGUUUGCUUAGUGAAAUAUAAACUGUGUCUUGCUUGCAAGCCAUUUCCAGAAUGUGUGUCUUACUUACCUCUGUGCUAUUAAUUAUUUUAUUCUUGGAUAGGAUAUUCAUCUCCUAAUCUUCUUGUUGAAGACCUCAUUGACCUCCCAGUGUUCACCGGUGAGCCCACCCUCAGCAAAUGUUCUGAUCCCCAAUGGAAAGGGCCCUGCCAUUGGCUUCCAGGCUACUGAGGUGCCAGCCACUACUAUUACCUACACUGUCCUCAGGCAUGCUGUGCCUUGGAUUGAUCUAUUGGUGGGGCAUUUCACCUUUUUGAAAGGAGAAAGUGGUUUAUUCUCAAUAGUAGUUAGCAGUUGGGUGAUGGUUGUGAUAACAGCAGCUGGAGAGUUGACUAGUAGUGACUAGGUUGCAGAUAGAUAAUAAAGGGUAGUCCUCAAGAGUUAACUACUCUAAGAAGUAGUUACCUAGAGAUAGCAGAUAGUAUUUUUGAAAUGCCAUUGUUUUUAUACUUUGUUUAUCAAAAACCAAAACAAAGGAAGGUGGUGUUGAUCUAUAGUAUGGCUUUGGUCCUUGAUUAUAUCUAUUUAGCUACAAUAUUCUCCCACCAUUUCCAGGAAAGCCUUUGUGCUAUGAGCUCUAUCAGACGUGGCUUGAUCCUGGAAGUCUUCUGUGCUUUGUUUUUCAAGUCUCUUUUAUUUCUUCCAUGCUUCACAUACUAUAUGGAAUUCAAAGAAAAGGCAUCUCAGUUCCCACUCUGUUCCACUCCAUCAGAAAACCUCACUCAGGUCAAGACUGUAUUUACAAUUUUGACUGGUAUUUCUGUUCUCUUCUUUCUUUACACCUCACUAACCCUGAAGCAUGUUUUCUAGAAACAGCAUCAGCUCUCGAUCCUUCCCCACAUCUCAGCUCCUGACUGCCAGGUAUAGUAAGUACUGUCUGCAGAGUCAACAAACAAAAUGGGAAUACAGGGCACAAUUUCAGAGCAUUUUAAAUGGAAAUAUGGUGAAAAACAUCUUAAAAUAUUGGAGGAAAUAGUUCUCAACGUAGUAAUAAAAUAACAAUGAUAGCAUUAAAUAAUAUAUAAACUAAAUGUGAGUAAUUUUAAUGCAUUUUAUAAUUAAAGAAUGACCCAGAAUAUUUGCUUUAAAUUUAUUUGCAGAUAGAAAAGCUAAGAAGUUUCAGAAAGAAUCAAAAGCAUGGUAUUAUAAAAUAGCUUCAUUUUUACUGACUUUUGAAUGAUAAUUCACUUAAGUCUACCUGUGAGAAUUAUUUGAGGGCUGGUGAGAUGGCUCAGUGGGUAAGAGCACCCGACUGUUCUUCCGAA